ensembl:misc_RNA Metazoa_SRP Metazoan signal recognition particle RNA
GCUGGGCGCGGUGGCUCACGCCUGUAAUCCCAGCACUUUGGGAGGCCGAGGUGGGUGGAUCACCUGAGGUCAGGAGUUCAAGACCAGCCUGACCAACAUGGAGAAACCCCAUCUCUA